AUUGAACGCUGGCGGAAUGCUUUACACAUGCAAGUCGAACGGCAGCACAGAAGAGCUUGCUCUUUGGGUGGCGAGUGGCGGACGGGUGAGUAAUGUCUGGGAAACUGCCCGAUGGAGGGGGAUAACUACUGGAAACGGUAGCUAAUACCGCAUAACGUCGCAAGACCAAAGUGGGGGACCUUCGGGCCUCACACCAUCGGAUGUGCCCAGAUGGGAUUAGCUAGUAGGUGGGGUAAUGGCUCACCUAGGCGACGAUCCCUAGCUGGUCUGAGAGGAUGACCAGCCACACUGGAACUGAGACACGGUCCAGACUCCUACGGGAGGCAGCAGUGGGGAAUAUUGCACAAUGGGCGCAAGCCUGAUGCAGCCAUGCCGCGUGUAUGAAGAAGGCCUUCGGGUUGUAAAGUACUUUCAGCGGGGAGGAAGGCGGUGAGGUUAAUAACCUUGCCGAUUGACGUUACCCGCAGAAGAAGCACCGGCUAACUCCGUGCCAGCCGCCGCCGUAA
rnacentral:rRNA from 1 species